rnacentral:sRNA from 2 species
UCGGGCGGAACGCCGAAUCCUGCCGCCGCCCGAACACCCAUCGAUAACGCUCGGCAGGAGCGGGGGAACCAGGUAAGUCGCCGAAACGGAAUUUCCGGACGUCUUGGACAUGCAAGACGCUUCGGACAGGCCGUACGGCUUGGGGUAAAGCCGCGACCGUCAGGACGCGACCGGGCAGCUCCCGCCCGAACCCGACAGCUCACCUCGCAGGCGCCGGAGAGGAAAUUC